GAUGAACGCUGGCGGCGUGCCUAAUACAUGCAAGUCGAGCGAACAGACGAGGAGCUUGCUCCUCUGACGUUAGCGGCGGACGGGUGAGUAACACGUGGAUAACCUACCUAUAAGACUGGGAUAACUUCGGGAAACCGGAGCUAAUACCGGAUAAUAUAUUGAACCACAUGGUUCAAUAGUGAAAGACGGUUUUGCUGUCACUUAUAGAUGGAUCCGCGCCGCAUUAGCUAGUUGGUAAGGUAACGGCUUACCAAGGCAACGAUGCGUAGCCGACCUGAGAGGGUGAUCGGCCACACUGGAACUGAGACACGGUCCAGACUCCUACGGGAGGCAGCAGUAGGGAAUCUUCCGCAAUGGGCGAAAGCCUGACGGAGCAACGCCGCGUGAGUGAUGAAGGUCUUCGGAUCGUAAAACUCUGUUAUUAGGGAAGAACAAAUGUGUAAGUAACUAUGCACGUCUUGACGGUACCUAAUCAGAAAACCACGGCUAACUACGU
rnacentral:rRNA from 1 species